rnacentral:siRNA from 1 species
GUCUAACAUCUUCAUUAUCUUUC